CUUAUUUCGGUUUGAUUUUUUCUUUCCGGAUGAUUACUUUGAGAAAAUUAGAGUGCUCAAAGCAGGCUUUUGCCUUGAAUAGUUUAGCAUGGAAUAAUAAAGUAGGACUUUGGUUCUAUUUUGUUGGUUUUAGGUACCAAAGUAAUGGUUAAUAGGAACAGUUGGGGGCAUUCGUAUUUAACUGUCAGAGGUGAAAUUCUUAGAUUUGUUAAAGACGAACUACUGC
rnacentral:rRNA from 1 species